GUGGUAGCUCGGUGGUAGAGUAUGUGCUUAGCAUGCACAAGACCCUGGGUUCGAUCCCCAGCACACACU
rnacentral:tRNA from 1 species